rnacentral:lncRNA from 1 species
CAUUAGCCAAGUAGGUAUGACAAUUUCCUUGCCAGCGUACCCCAUGUUGCUGACAUGUUGCAGUGACAUUGAAUGUAAGUGACCUUGCUCAAGGACCAAGGCAGAUUAGGGUGUUCCCGGUUUUAAGAUAAUCGUGUUUAGGGUGUUCCCGGUUUAGGUUCCAGGUUUAAGGUUUAAGAUUAUUCCUGCUGGGAAUAGGGCGUAUCCUGCUGCCUGAGUUCCCCUUGAGUUCUCACGGGAUUUAGACAGUAUAUUUUGGAGAUAGAAGCCCAGUGGAAGUGGAUUUGGGCAGAGAACGUGGAUUUGGGAAGAGAACGUGGAUUUCCCCAGAACGUGAUUGUAGACGGCUGGUGUGAGUUCGGGAAUAAAGAGUUGCUGUUUGAAUCUACAAGCUGUGUGGUGGCUCGUGAUUGUGUGCCCAGCCGACUGCGGCAUUUGUGCCCAGCCAGACUGCGGCAGUCUAUUACUUCAGGCUUUAGUCAGAGUAGUUAGAAAACCUGAAAAAUCACUCCAUGUUUUGCAUUAUCUACCACAAAAUGUAUUCUUGUAGAGUUAUAUUUGGAAAUUACGGUGCUAUGUUUUGUUCAUUGACUCUCUGGACUAACAAUGUUGUCUACUGCUAACACAAUCACUCUGCUGGAGACAAGUUUCAUUUUAUUAAAUCUACGCAUUCAGCUCUUGAAGGUAGAGAAUCACAUGGAACUGUGGGCCUAGUUCUAGUGACUAUAAAUACUCCUUUGAAACAACUCUG